CAGCUCGAGUUUCUCUUCAUUGUCGCAUAAAUCUUUCGCCUUUUACUAAAGAUUUCCGUGGAGGGGAACUUAUGCGACAGAUCUGUACAAAUGGUUACACAUCUCAAAUCAGAGCUA